ACUUCCGCCCCGGAAAGCGAGGCCGCCACCAUCUUUUGGGUCCGGGAGGAUUGAGUCAUCGGGCUCCAAUGCGUGGGGAUGUUUACCGCCGUUUAUCCGGGAUAGAGACUCCAUCGUGCUGACAGCAUCCUUUUAUUCACCGCCUCCGAAUUUGCAAAGAGGAGGAAGGAGGGACUUCUUGGCUUCUCCCAGCAUAGCCCCAGGUACCUGCUCUUGAACGCACUUUGUUGUUCCAUUUUCUGUCCUUUCAGUUAAUCAAGUUUCCGUCACUCAGUAAGUUACUACUGAAAAAUGAUGAAAUAUUUGUUGAAUAAAUGUGAGAGUGGGUAGGAAAACUACUUGGAAAUGAGUAUUACCAAUAACAUCUUACCACUUUGAUUUUAAGGCAUUCGUCUGUGGACCAUAGCUAUUGAUGAAGUAGGUCUUGUUAUUUUGUUAUGAGGAAAUUAGGCAGAGUUUAUGUUAUUAAAUACUUUCCCGAAGUUAUUCAACUGAUAGUAAGAGGUGGAUUUGGGAUUGAACCCAAGCAUUCCUUUUCAGACUGUGUGAUCUUUUUUGUUUGUUUUUGUUUCUUUGGUUUUUGUUGUUGUUUAUUUUCUAUUCCUUUUUCUGAGUCUGUGGUCUUAAUCUCAAUGAUACAGUCGUCUUCAGUUAUCUUAAAUAGUAAUCCAUAUGGCUACCGGUGAGUCGUUGGAAAUCAGCCUUGGGAAUGU
rnacentral:lncRNA from 10 species